AAUGCCUCUUGAAUAACUGGAUGCAAGAAUUGCAAUGGUGUGCAUACAGUUCAGACGGUGGCAUAGAACAACAUGAAUCAUUGUUAGUGAAAGGAAUUUUUUUAUUUAAUUGUUCCUCUCUUAGAUGGCUUCAGAUAUUU